AAACCAUGGUUAGGGCAGUCCCUAGUAUAUUCCUUGAAACGUUCCAAUACUUCAAAGAUUGACUCCGUGGCUUCUUGCUUGAAACUUGAGAUUUUGUUACUCAU
rfam:Arabis alpina cultivar Pajares scaff_55975_1_contig_22, whole genome shotgun sequence.